rnacentral:rRNA from 1 species
UCGGGAAUUUUGGGCAAUGGGCGAAAGCCUGAUCCAGCAAUGCCGCGUGAGUGAAGAAGGCCUUAGGGUUGUAAAGCUCUUUCACCGGGGAAGAUAAUGACGGUACCCGGAGAAGAAGCCCCGGUUAACUCCGUGCCAGCAGCCGCGGUAAUACGGAGGGUGCAAGCGUUGCUCGGAAUUAUUGGGCGUAAAGGGUAGGUAGGUGGUCUUGUUUGUCUGAGGUGAAAUCCCAGGGCUUAACCCUGGACGUGCCUUAGAAACGGCGAGACUGGAGUCCUGGAGAGGGUUGUGGAAUUCCCGGUGUAGCGGUGAAAUUCGUAGAUAUCCGGAGGAACACCAGUGGCGAAGGCGGCCCUCUGGACGAUGACUGACGCUGAGACGCGAAAGCGUGGGGAGCAAACAGGAUUAGAUACCCUGGUAGUCCACGCCGUAAACGUUGGGUGCUAGGUGUCGCGGGUAUUGACCCCUGCGGUGCCGGCGUUAACGCAUUUAGCACCCCGCCUGGGGAGUACGCCGGCAACGGUAAAACUCAAAGGAAUUGACGG